AACGAACGCUGGCGGCAGGCUUAACACAUGCAAGUCAAACGGGUGUAGCAAUACGCUAGUGGCGCACGGGUGAGUAACACGUGGGAAUUUUCCUUUCAGUAUGGAAUAACUUCGGGAAACUGAAGCUAAUACCAUAUGGUCUCCUAACGGAGUAAAGAUUUAUCGCUGAAAGAUAAGCCCGCGUCAGAUUAGCUAGUUGGUGAGGUAAUGGCUCACCAAGGCUACGAUCUGUAGCUGGUCUUAGAGGAUGAUCAGCCACACUGGAACUGAGACACGGUCCAGACUCCUACGGGAGGCAGCAGUGGGGAAUAUUGGACAAUGGGGGAAACCCUGAUCCAGCCAUGCCGCGUGAGUGAUGAAGGCCUUCGGGUUGUAAAGCUCUUUUGUGUGGGAAGAUAAUGACUGUACCACAAGAAUAAGCCCCGGCUAACUUCGUGCCAGCAGCCGCAGUAA
rnacentral:rRNA from 1 species